UGCGCGUAUGCGUUUUCAAGUGC
rnacentral:miRNA from 1 species